AGUGAACGCUGGCGGCAGGCCUAAUACAUGCAAGUCGAACGGCAGCACAGUGGAGCUUGCUCCAUGGGUGGCGAGUGGCGGACGGGUGAGGAAUACAUGGGAAUCUGCCCAGUCGUGGGGGAUAACGUAGGGAAACUUACGCUAAUACCGCAUGCGCCCUUCGGGGGAAAGCCGGGGACCUUCGGGCCUGGCGCGAUUGGAUGAGCCCAUGUCGGAUUAGCUAGUUGGCGGGGUAAUGGCCCACCAAGGCGACGAUCCGUAGCUGGUCUGAGAGGAUGAUCAGCCACACUGGAACUGAGACACGGUCCAGACUCCUACGGGAGGCAGCAGUAGGGAAUAUUGGACAAUGGGCGCAAGCCUGAUCCAGCCAUGCCGCGUGAGUGAAGAAGGCCCUCGGGUUGUAAAGCUCUUUUGUCCGGAAAGAAAAGCGCCGGGUUAAUACCCUGGUGUCCUGACGGUACCGGAAGAAUAAGCACCGGCUAACUUCGUGCCAGCAGCCG
rnacentral:rRNA from 1 species